rnacentral:pre_miRNA from 1 species
CUGUGUGUUAGGUGGAGGCUGAGUGUUAGGUGGAGGCCGAGUGUUCCACCUAACACACAGCCUUCACCUAACACUCAGCCUCCACCUAACAUUCAGC